UAGGGAAUCUUCGGCAAUGGACGAAAGUCUGACCGAGCAACGCCGCGUGAGUGAAGAAGGUUUUCGGAUCGUAAAACUCUGUUGUUAGAGAAGAACAAGGACGUUAGUAACUGAACGUCCCCUGACGGUAUCUAACCAGAAAGCCACGGCUAACUACUUGCCAGCAGCCGCGGUAAUACGUAGGUGGCAAGCGUUGUCCGGAUUUAUUGGGCGUAAAGCGAGCGCAGGCGGUUUCUUAAGUCUGAUGUGAAAGCCCCCGGCUCAACCGGGGAGGGUCAUUGGAAACUGGGAGACUUGAGUGCAGAAGAGGAGAGUGGAAUUCCAUGUGUAGCGGUGAAAUGCGUAGAUAUAUGGAGGAACACCAGUGGCGAAGGCGGCUCUCUGGACUGUAACAGACGCUGAGGCUCGAAAGCGUGGGGAGCAAACAGG
rnacentral:rRNA from 1 species